rnacentral:rRNA from 1 species
UACAUGGGGUGCAAACGUUGCUCGGAAUUAUUGGGCGUAAAGCGCACGUAGGCGGUUCGUUAAGUCGGAUGUGAAAGCCCUCGGCUCAACUGAGGAAGUGCACCCGAAACUGGCGAGCUUGAGUACGAAAAGAGGAUCGCGGAAUUCCCGGUGUAGAGGUGAAAUUCGUAGAUAUCGGGAGGAACACCGGUGGCGAAGGCGGCGAUCUGGGUCGAUACUGACGCUGAGGUGCGAAAGCGUGGGGAGCGAACAGG